UACGUAGGGGGCUAGCGUUGUCCGGAUUUAUUGGGCGUAAAGAGCGUGUAGGCGGCCAGGUAGGUCUGGUGUGAAAACUCGAGGCUUAACCUCGAGAUGUCAUCGGAAACCAUCUGGCUAGAGUCCGGAAGAGGAGAGUGGAAUUCCUGGUGUGGCGGUGAAAUGCGCAGAUAUCAGGAAGAACACCAAUGGCGAAAGCAGCUCUCUGGGACGGUACUGACGCUGAGACGCGAAAGCGUGGGGAGCGAACAGG
rnacentral:rRNA from 1 species